GUCCUCCUCAUGCUUACCACAGACUGUGCAUCAGAGUACCGUCUGUAUAGAAACUGGAGGUACAUGAAUCUCUUCCAACACUGGUGCCGUGCUGGCUAACGUCUGGCAAGGCAGCUUUGUUGGUUGAGACAUCU
ensembl:snoRNA